GUGGGGAAUAUUGGACAAUGGGCGAAAGCCUGAUCCAGCCAUGCCGCGUGUGUGAAGAAGGUCUUCGGAUUGUAAAGCACUUUAAGUUGGGAGGAAGGGCAGUAAGUUAAUACCUUGCUGUUUUGACGUUACCGACAGAAUAAGCACCGGCUAACUUCGUGCCAGCAGCCGCGGUAAUACGAAGGGUGCAAGCGUUAAUCGGAAUUACUGGGCGUAAAGCGCGCGGAGGUGGGUUUGUAAGUUGGAGGUGAAAUCCCCGGGCUCAACCUGGGAACUGCCUCAAAAACUGCAUGACUAGAGUACGGUAGAGGGUAGUGGAAUUUCCUGUGUAGCGGUGAAAUGCGUAGAUAUAGGAAGGAACACCAGUGGCGAAGGCGACUACCUGGACUGAUACUGACACUGAGGUGCGAAAGCGUGGGGAGCAAACAGGAUUAGAAACCCGAGUAGUCC
rnacentral:rRNA from 1 species